AUUGAACGCUGGCGGCAGGCCUAACACAUGCAAGUCGAGCGGAUGAAGGGAGCUUGCUCCUGGAUUCAGCAGCGGACGGGUGAGUAAUGCCUAGGAAUCUGCCUGGUAGUGGGGGAUAACGUCCGGAAACGGGCGCUAAUACCGCAUACGUCCUGAGGAAGAAAGUGGGGGAUCUUCGGACCUCACGCUAUCAGAUGAGCCUAGGUCGGAUUAGCUAGUUGGUGGGGUAAAGGCCUACCAAGGCGACGAUCCGUAACUGGUCUGAGAGGAUGAUCAGUCACACUGGAACUGAGACACGGUCCAGACUCCUACGGGAGGCAGCAGUGGGGAAUAUUGGACAAUGGGCGAAAGCCUGAUCCAGCCAUGCCGCGUGUGUGAAGAAGGUCUUCGGAUUGUAAAGCACUUUAAGUUGGGAGGAAGGGCAGUAAGUUAAUACCUUGCUGUUUUGACGUUACCAACAGAAUAAGCACCGGCUAACUUCGUG
rnacentral:rRNA from 1 species